UAUAAUCCAAAUCUCUGUUCUAAAAAGUUAUGAUCAAACAGCUUCAUAAAACGUCUACCAUCUUCUUCCACCGUUUCAUAUCAAAUCCGUUUAUGGCACUUUCUUCGAUCUUCAUUGUUUUUUCUGUUUUUGAGAGUUGACAGCAGAGAAUUCGGGAUCGAUGAUGAUUUGAAGAAUCUGCGUUAUCUAUCUGCAAAUUCCUUUAGAGGAACUGAUGAUGAUGAUGAUGAUGAUGAUGAUGAUGAUGAUAAGUGUUAUCUCCCUCAGAUCUGAUUUCUCUAUCUACGUUUUGCAGGGAAAUACUGCAUUCAACAAGUGAACUAUACGUAAGCAUUGAUAAAUACUUGGAUUGAUUCAAAGAUUUCAGCACAUCCUACUGGAAACGUAUCUCCAACAACUGCCCAUUGAGGAAGUUCUCCAAAACUCGGAUGAAGCAAAACCUUUCCAAGAUCUGCAAAACGCAGAUUUUCAAUCAAGUGAAGCCAAUCUUGGUUAGGAUAGUCUUUUCUUAUGGCCUCAGCAGUCUGCAGCAAGUGCUCAAUUUGGGGUUCAUCCAAGUCAGGAUCGCUCUCAUCGACAACCUGGUUCAGGAGUUCGCAACAUUCCCAGAUGCUCAUUUCGACCUUGUCCAAUUUCCCAUAUUCCUCUCUCAUCCUUUUGACCUGUCCAUUCAUCCGGUCGGUUAUAAUUUAAUUAAUUAAUUUUAUUUGAAAAUGAAACUAUUAUGACCAAAGAAAAGAUACUCACAAAAUCAACAGUUUGAUUGAUGUGAUUUGUACGGUAAAAAUUCUCCACCCCCUUUUGUCUUUCACUUUCUAUCUUGUAAUC